UACGUAGGGACCAAGCGUUGUUCGGAUUUAUUGGGCGUAAAGGGUGCGUAGGCGGCGGAGUAAGUUGGGUGUGAAAUCCCGAGGCUCAACCUCGGAAUUGCAUUCAAUACUGCUUCGCUCGAGUACUGGAGAGGAGGCUGGAAUUUACGGUGUAGCAGUGAAAUGCGUAGAUAUCGUAAGGAAGGCCGGUGGCGAAAGCGAGCCUCUGGACAGUUACUGACGCUGAUGCACGAAGGCCAGGGGAGCAAACGGG
rnacentral:rRNA from 1 species